AUGAAUUAGCAUCGGAAUUCUAUUAUGCAUGCAAGUGGAUGACUCAAGAAUCAAGAUAUUAUUUCGUAAUUAAAGUACACCUAAAAGCACAGAGGGAAAAUUCUUUUAACCCCCUCAGUGUGCUACAUAGAUUAUCAAAAAAUACCUUUCAGCCUAUUCGUCUACCUAAACAAACUUCCCGGAUGAAUGCAAUAAUGCAUUCAGUGCCAUUUACAGUGGUGGCGUCAGGCGAUUGAUUCUUUCGACCGUUCAUCGUUUCUUAUUCCGGCUGAGCUUCUUCUUAUGGUGCAGCUAGUUUCUCCAUCUUCAAUUUGUUUGUUAUUAUGCGGCGUUUUUUCUUCCCACAAGAGUUGCGCCUAUGAAAUCCCAAAGAAACUACUUGGAGGAAUAUUUGUGUUGAGGAGAUUUUUGCAGACCAAACACGAUUUCUAGUUUAGUCGAACACGAUUUCAGGUCCCAAUUUGAAUGUUCAAAUGUUUUUUUAAUAACCCCUAAAUUAAUUAGCUUAUGUCCUACAAUUUUUCACCCAUUUAAUCUGUUAUAUAUGAUGAUGCCUUUAAAUUGUUAUAUAUGUGUCUUUGUUUUUGUAUAAUCCUAUUAAAUUCCUAGAUGAUAAUAUUUAGUAAGAUCUUUUAUGCACAAAA